GCUCUGGUGGCUUAGUUGGUUAAAGCGUCGGUCUCAUACAUGACACACCUGGUUGCACAGGUGCUCCUCCACACAGUCAUCCGAAGGUCGUGAGUUUCGACUCUCACCCAGAGCA